rnacentral:siRNA from 1 species
AAAUCAGGAUUUCGCGGUCCUAC